rnacentral:rRNA from 1 species
UGGCGGCGUGCCUAUACAUGCAAGUCGAGCGGACAGAUGGGAGCUUGCUCCCUGAUGUUAGCGGCGGACGGGUGAGUAACACGUGGGUAACCUGCCUGUAAGACUGGGAUAACUCCGGGAAACCGGGGCUAAUACCGGAUGCUUGUUUGAACCGCAUGGUUCAAACAUAAAAGGUGGCUUCGGCUACCACUUACAGAUGGACCCGCGGCGCAUUAGCUAGUUGGUGAGGUAACGGCUCACCAAGGCAACGAUGCGUAGCCGACCUGAGAGGGUGAUCGGCCACACUGGGACUGAGACACGGCCCAGACUCCUACGGGAGGCAGCAGUAGGGAAUCUUCCGCAAUGGACGAAAGUCUGACGGAGCAACGCCGCGUGAGUGAUGAAGGUUUUCGGAUCGUAAAGCUCUGUUGUUAGGGAAGAACAAGUACCGUUCGAAUAGGGCGGUACCUUGACGGUACCUAACCAGAAAGCCACGGCUAACUACGUGCCAGCAGCCGCGGUAAUACGUAGGUGGCAAGCGUUGUCCGGAAUUAUUGGGCGUAAAGGGCUCGCAGGCGGUUUCUUAAGUCUGAUGUGAAAGCCCCCGGCUCAACCGGGGAGGGUCAUUGGAAACUGGGGAACUUGAGUGCAGAAGAGGAGAGU